AUUGAACGCUGGCGGCAUGCCUUACACAUGCAAGUCGAACGGCAGCGACGGGAGCAAUCCUGGUGGCGAGUGGCGAACGGGUGAGUAAUAUAUCGGAACGUGCCCAGUCGUGGGGGAUAACGUAGCGAAAGCUACGCUAAUACCGCAUACGAUCUAUGGAUGAAAGCGGGGGAUCGCAAGACCUCGCGCGAUUGGAGCGGCCGAUAUCAGAUUAGGUAGUUGGUGAGGUAAAGGCUCACCAAGCCGACGAUCUGUAGCUGGUCUGAGAGGACGACCAGCCACACUGGGACUGAGACACGGCCCAGACUCCUACGGGAGGCAGCAGUGGGGAAUUUUGGACAAUGGGCGCAAGCCUGAUCCAGCAAUGCCGCGUGCAGGAUGAAGGCCUUCGGGUUGUAAACUGCUUUUGUACGGAACGAAACGGUGAGCUCUAAUACAGUUUGCUAAUGACGGUACCGUAAGAAUAAGCACCGGCUAACUACGUG
rnacentral:rRNA from 1 species